rnacentral:rRNA from 1 species
UGCNAGUCGGACGGCAGCACAGAGAAGCUUGCUUCUUGGGUGGCGAGUGGCGAACGGGUGAGUAAUAUAUCGGAACGUACCGAGUAAUGGGGGAUAACUAAUCGAAAGAUUAGCUAAUACCGCAUAUUCUCUGAGGAGGAAAGCAGGGGACCUUCGGGCCUUGCGUUAUUCGAGCGGCCGAUAUCUGAUUAGCUAGUUGGNGGGGUAAAGGCCUACCAAGGCGACGAUCAGUAGCGGGUCUGAGAGGAUGAUCCGCCACACUGGGACUGAGACACGGCCCANACUCCUACGGGAGGCAGCAGUGGGGAAUUUUGGACAAUGGGCGCAAGCCUGAUCCAGCCAUGCCGCGUGUCUGAAGAAGGCCUUCGGGUUGUAAAGGACUUUUGUCAGGGAAGAAAAGGCUGUUGCUAAUAUCGACAGCUGAUGACGGUACCUGAAGAAUAAGCACCGGCUAACUACGUGCCAGCAGCCGCGGUAAUACGUAGGGUGCGAGCGUUAAUCGGAAUUACUGGGCGUAAAGCGAGCGCAGACGGUUACUUAAGCAGGAUGUGAAAUCCCCGGGCUCAACCUGGGAACUGCGUUCUGAACUGGGUGACUAGAGUGUGUCAGAGGGAGGUAGAAUUCCACGUGUAGCAGUGAAAUGCGUAGAGAUGUGGAGGAAUACCGAUGGCGAAGGCAGCCUCCUGGGAUAACACUGACGUUCAUGCUCGAAAGCGUGGGUAGCAAACAGGAUUAGAUACCCUGGUAGUCCACGCCCUAAACGAUGUCAAUUAGCUGUUGNGCAACUUGAUUGCUUANUAGCGUAGCUAACGCGUGAAAUUGACCGCCUGGGGAGUACGGUCGCAAGAUUNAAACUCAAAGGANUUGACGGG